ensembl:lncRNA
GCCUUGCCGCCGCGCGCGCCUGCGUCCUCUUCGCCUUCUCCUUCCCGCAGCUCCGCCGCCUUUGCCGCGCUCACCUGCCCGCCCGGGCGGUCGGUGGGGCAGCCCGCCCCGCGCUCUCCUCUCCCGACCGGCCGGCCGGCCGCUUCCUUCGCCCUCGGAUGAGACGGGGCCGGCCGGCGGCGUCCAGCGAGCGAGGGAAAAAGCAGCCAGGCGGACCAGGCAGUGCGCAAAAGGCGGGCAGCGCGUCGCGUGGGCACCGCCGCCGCCGCCGCCGCCCCGACUGCUCGGGAGAGCCGAGCAGGACCGCCAGGCAGGCAGGCAGGCUGGAGCGGGGGAGGGGGGGCAGAGGAGGGGCGAGGAGGGACCGGCCCGCCCGGGCGAAGGGAGGCAGCGGCGGCGCCUCGGGCCCGCGCGCCCAGGGCCGGGGGGGCUUGUUUACGCCGGGAGGGCGCGCGGCUCCCCUCAAGGGCGAGGAACUCGGAGGGCCGGCUCGAAUGUUGAGAUUUACAAGAUGA